ACAUGCAAGUCGAGCGGGGUUAAAGUUUUACACUGAGUAUUUAAAGAGUUAUUCAGCCAGCGCAGAUGCACAAAUAACCUUGACUUAAUAAUCUUUCAAAAAAAGAUUUGUGCAUUACGCGUUUUAAAGCGUGAAUAACACUGACGCAAACAAGCAAUCGGAUUUGAGUACUGAGUGUAAAACUUUAACCUAGCGGCGGACGGGUGAGUAACGCGUGAGCAAUCUGCCUCAUACAGGGGGAUAACAGCUGGAAACAGCUGCUAAUACCGCAUAAGACCACACUAUCGCAUGGUAGAGGGGUCAAAGGAGCAAUCCGGUAUGAGAUGAGCUCGCGUCCCAUUAGCUGGUUGGCGGGGUAACGGCCCACCAAGGCAACGAUGGGUAGCCGACCUGAGAGGGUGAUCGGCCACACUGGGACUGAGACACGGCCCAGACUCCUACGGGAGGCAGCAGUGGGGAAUAUUGCGCAAUGGGGGGAACCCUGACGCAGCAACGCCGCGUGAGUGAAGAAGGCCUUCGGGUCGUAAAACUCUGUCAUAGGGGAAGAAAAAGAUGACGGUACCCUAUGAGGAAGCCCCGGCUAACUACGUGCCAGCAGCCGCGGUAAUACGUAGGGGGCGAGCGUUGUCCGGAAUUACUGGGCGUAAAGGGUGCGCAGGCGGCCGAUUAAGUCAGAUGUGAAAUACCACGGCUCAACUGUGGGGGUGCAUUUGAAACUGGUUGGCUUGAGUGCAGGAGAGGAAAGUGGAAUUCCUAGUGUAGCGGUGAAAUGCGUAGAGA
rnacentral:rRNA from 1 species